rnacentral:piRNA from 1 species
UAAGAUGGCGCCUGACAGAAAUCU